GAUUCAGGGCAGUGCUUGAGUCCAUGUCCGGAGAGAGACAAGCCAGGGCCUGUUCUAUGCUCCAAUCAUGAUGUGUUAGGACCCCCCGGGAGAGACAGGUUGACCUGUGCUCACCUUGGCACCCCACACCUGGAGCAGUCUCUGUGCUGGGAGCUGCUGGGUGCAGGAGGAAGAUGUCAUGGCAGAGCCCGUGGGGACCCCCAGCCUGGGAGCAUCAGCGGCAGUACCCUCUCCUUGCUGCCAGCCCCUUCCCAGCCUUCUUGUCCAGGGCCAUCACCCAGGGGACACCAGGGGCUUCAAGGCUCCAGGGGGCAAUGCUACCAAGGGAGUCAGGACAGCCGGGGCCUGGGGGGCCUGGAGCUUCUCCACCUAGAAACUGGCCAUCGCCAGCCCCAUGUUCCUCAGCUGGAGUUCAGGAGUCAUCACAGCGUCCCCACAGAGGGGCUCCAGGAACUCCCGCUGGAUGGGGUAGUGGGGCCCUGGGAACAUCCCACUCAAAGGUCCCAUAAUGAGAGGCCAGGGAAGCAGAACCCUGGCACCCCUGCAACUAAGUCUGCCUCUGUGAGUCUUCACGACAACCCCCCAAUAGUGCAGGCUUCAGGCCCCUCAAAAUCCAGGGCAGCAGGGCAUGGGGACCCCCCUGAACAGGUGCCAGGGUCAGAGAACCUGGGGCAGAAGCAGCCAUGUAAAGGUGGAGGCCAAAGAAGAAACAGGUGGAGGCCGAGGAGGAAACAGGUGGAGGCUGAGGAGGGGACAGGUGGAGGCCCAGGAGGGGACAGGUGGAGGCCAAGGAGGAGACAGGUGGAAGCCCAGGAGGAGACAGGUGGAGGCCCAGGGGGAAACAGGUGGAGGCCGAAGAGGAAACAGGUGGAGGCCGAGGAGGAAACAGGUGGAGGCCGAAGAGGAGACAGGUGGAGGCCCAGGAGGAGACAGGUGGAGGCCGAAGAGGAAACAGGUGGAGGCCGAGGAGGAAACAGGUGGAGGCCGAGGAGGAAACAGGUGGAGGCUGAGGAGGAAACAGGUGGAGGCCGAGAAGGAAACAGGUGGAGGAUGAGGGGGGAGGAGGAGGGGGUAUGGGGUCGCCCAGGGCAGCUCCUGAGCCACCCUUGCUGA
ensembl:lncRNA